UUAUCUAUCACUUCCCAAGUUCAGGAGCUUCAGAACUUAUUAAAAGGAAAAGAGGAACAGAUGAAUACCAUGAAGGCUGUUUUAGAAGAGAAAGAGAAAGACCUAGCCAAUACAGGGAAGUGGUUACAGGUGAGAAAUUAAAAACAAUAAAAAAUAGCCUUUUUAUACUUGACUAUCAAUUUAAUUUACACCUAUUCUUUUUAAGGAUCUUCAAGAAGAAAAUGAAUCUUUAAAAGCACAUGUUCAGGAAGUAGCACAACAUAACUUGAAAGAGGCCUCUUCUGCAUCACAGUUUGAAGAACUUGAGAUUGUGUUGAAAGAAAAGGAAAAUGAAUUGAAGAGGUUAGAAGCCAUGCUAAAAGAGAGGGAGAGUGAUCUUUCUAGCAAAACAAAGCUGUUACAGGUGAAUAUGGUGACUUAAAAUUAAUUAUUUUGUAGAUUAUUGUCUUUGCAUGCUUUAAAAUAAUUUUUAACUGCUGCCAAAAAAUAGAGUACAGAAUGAGUCUCCCUCCCACCCAGAUACUAGGUCUCAUUACUGGCAUAUUUUUUGAGUAAUUACCCAUGCAUAAAAUGUGUGUAUGUGUGUACACUUGUUUAGUAAAUACUCUGUUGAACUAU
rnacentral:sRNA from 1 species